GGGGGUGCGCUAACGCUGGAGUGUUAGGCCGGACUGUAAAUCCGGUUCCGAAAGGAAGAAUAGGUUCGAAUCCUAUCACCCCCA
rnacentral:tRNA from 1 species